rnacentral:rRNA from 1 species
UACAGAGGGUGCAAACGUUGUUCGGAAUUACUGGGCGUAAAGCGCGUGUAGGCGGCCUAGUGUGUCGGGCGUGAAAUCCCACGGCUCAACCGUGGAAGUGCACUCGAAACUGCAAGGCUGGAGUACUGGAGAGGAUGGUAGAAUGCUCGGUGUAGAGGUGAAAUUCGUAGAUAUCGAGCGGAAUACCGGUGGCGAAGGCGGCCAUCUGGACAGUCACUGACGCUGAGACGCGAAAGCGUGGGGGAGCAAACAGG